CCUACGUGUGGCAGCAGUGAGGAAUAUUGGUCAAUGGGCGCGAGCCUGAACCAGCCAAGUAGCGUGAAGGAUGACUGCCCUACGGGUUGUAAACUUCUUUUAUAAAGGAAUAAAGUGAGGCAAGAGUGCCUUUUUGUAUGUAAUUUAUGAAUAAGGAUCGGCUAACUCCGUGCCAGCAGCCGCGGUAAUACGGAGGAUCCGAGCGUUAUCCGGAUUUAUUGGGUUUAAAGGGAGCGUAGAUGGGUUGUUAAGUCAGUAGUGAAAGUUUGCGGCUCAACCGUAAAAUUGCAUUUGAUACUGGCAGUCUUGAGUACAGUUGAGGUAGGCGGAAUUCGUGGUGUAGCGGUGAAAUGCUUAGAUCUCACGAAGAACUCCGAUUGCGAAGGCAGCUUACUAAACUGCCACUGACAUUGAUGCUCGAAAGUGUGGGUAUCAAACAGGAUUAGAUACCCGAGUAGUC
rnacentral:rRNA from 1 species